rnacentral:rRNA from 1 species
CAGUGCCGGAGAGAAGUUGUUAAGUUUGCCGCCUGGGAAGUAUGGUCGCAAGACUGAAACUUAAAGGAAUUGGCGGGGGAGCACCGCAACGGGAGGAGCGUGCGGUUUAAUUGGAUUCAACGCCGGAAAACUCACCGGGAGCGACGUUUGCAUGAAGGCCAGUUCGAAGACUUUGCCUGAUUAUUCGAGAGGUGGUGCAUGGCCGUCGUCAGUUCGUACCGCAAGGCGUUCUGUUAAGUCAGAUAACGAACGAGACCCCUGUCCUUAUUUGCUAAGUUAUCCCUCGGGAUGACAGCACUAUAGGGAGACCGCCACUGCUAAAGUGGAGGAAGGAGGGGGCAACGGUAGGUCAGUAUGCCCCGAAUCUCCCGGGCCACACGCGCGCUACAAAGGAUGGGACAAUGGGCUCCGACACCGAAAGGUGAAGGCAAUCCCGAAACCCAUUCGUAGUUCGGAUUGAGGGCUGUAACCCGCCCUCAUGAAGCUGGAUUCCGUAGUAAUCGCGGAUCAACAUUCCGCGGUGAAUAUGCCCCUGCUCCUUGCACACACCGCCCGUCAAACCAUCCGAG